GUAAGGAAUAUUGGUCAAUGGACGAAAGUCUGAACCAGCCAUGCCGCGUGGAGGAUGAAGGUCCUCUGGAUUGUAAACUUCUUUUAUAUGGGACGAAAAUGGGGCUUUCUAGCUCAACUGACGGUACCAUAUGAAUAAGCACCGGCUAACUCCGUGCCAGCAGCCGCGGUAAUACGGAGGGUGCAAGCGUUAUACGGAUUCACUGGGUUUAAAGGGUGCGUAGGUGGAUUGGUAAGUCAGAGGUGAAAUCUCCGGGCUCAACUCGGAAACUGCCUUUGAAACUAGCAAGCUUGAAUAUUGUGGAGGUUAGCGGAAUAUGUCAUGUAGCGGUGAAAUGCUUAGAUAUGACAUAGAACACCAAUUGCGAAGGCAGCUGGCUACACAUAUACUGACACUGAGGCACGAAAGCGUGGGGAUCAAACAGGAUUAGAUACCCGAGUAGUCC
rnacentral:rRNA from 1 species